CCUACGGGCGGCAGCAGUGAGGAAUAUUGGGCAAUGGGCGCGAGCCUGAACCAGCCAAGUAGCGUGAAGGAUGAAUGCCCUACGGGUUGUAAACUGCUGUUAUAAAGGAAUAAAGUGAGGCACGUGUGCCUUGUUGUAUGUACUUUAUGAAUAAGGAUCGGCUAACUCCGUGCCAGCAGCCGCGGUAAGACGGAGGAUCCGAGCGUUAUCCGGAUUUAUUGGGUUGAAAGGGAGCGUAGAUGGGUUGUUAAGUCAGUUGUGAACGUUUGCGGCUCAACCGUAAAAUUGACAUUGAUACUGGCAGUCUUGCGUACAGUUGCGGUAGGCGGCAUUCGUGUUGUAGCGGU
rnacentral:rRNA from 1 species